UUUAUUGCGGAUACAACAUGCACAAAUACUAUCAGAUCUGGCCUAGCGCACGGUUCAUUCUGAUUCAGCUCAACACAUGAUUCCUUCAAUUAUUUCAAGACGGUCUAGCGUACGACUCAUUCGGAUGUUCAUCUCCUCAGAUGCUACCUAGUGUACGGUAUAUUUCUGAAGUGUAGUCCAGCAUACGACUACCCCUUUCAUCCUCAGACGCGACCUGACAGACGACUCAUUCUGCAACUCAGAUACGAUCUAGC
rnacentral:lncRNA from 1 species